GCCGAUGUAGCUCAGCUGGUAGAGCACGUUCUUGGUAAGAACGGGGUCACCGGUUCAAUCCCGGUCAUCGGCU
rnacentral:tRNA from 1 species